rnacentral:rRNA from 1 species
GUGCCAGCCGCCGCGGUAAGACGAACCUUGCUAACGUUAUUCGGAAUUACUGGGCUUAAAGGGUGCGUAGGCGGUGCAGCAAGUCGGGUGUGAAAUCCCUCAGCUCAACUGAGGAACUGCGCCCGAAACUGCUGUGCUAGAGGAAGAUAGGGGUACGCGGAACUUAGGGUGGAGCGGUGAAAUGCGUUGAUAUCCUAAGGAACACCGGUGGCGUAAGCGGCGUACUGGGUCUUUUCUGACGCUGAGGCACGAAAGCUAGGGGAGCGAACGGGAUUAGAUACCCUGGUAGUCC